AACGAACGCUGGCGGCAUGCCUAACACAUGCAAGUCGAACGAGACCUUCGGGUCUAGUGGCGCACGGGUGCGUAACGUGUGGGAACCUGCCCUUAGGUUCGGAAUAACUCCCCGAAAUGGGUGCUAAUACAGGAUAAUGUCCUCGGACCAAAGAUUUGUCGCCUUUGGAUGGGCCGGCGUUGGAUUAGCUAGUUGGUAGGGUAAAAGCCUACGAAGGCGACGUUCGAUAGCUGGUCUGAGAGGAUGAUCAGCCACACUGGGACUGAGACACGGCCCAGACUACUACGGGAGGCAGCAGAGGGGAAUAUUGGACAAUGGGCGAAAGCCUGAACCAGCAAUGCCGGGUGAGUGAUGAAGGCCUGAGGGUUGUAAAGCUCUUUUACCCGGGAUGAUAAUGACAGUACCGAGAGAAUAAGCUCCGGCUAACUCCGUG
rnacentral:rRNA from 1 species